rnacentral:rRNA from 1 species
UGGGGAAUAUUGGACAAUGUGCGCAAGCCUGAUCCAGCCAUGCCGCGUGAGUGAUGAAGGCCCUAGGGUUGUAAAGCUCUUUCACCGGUGAAGAUAAUGACGGUAACCGGAGAAGAAGCCCCGGCUAACUUCGUGCCAGCAGCCGCGGUAAUACGAAGGGGGCUAGCGUUGUUCGGAUUUACUGGGCGUAAAGCGCACGUAGGCGGACUUUUAAGUCAGGGGUGAAAUCCCGGGGCUCAACCCCGGAACUGCCUUUGAUACUGGAAGUCUUGAGUAUGGUAGAGGUGAGUGGAAUUCCGGGUGUAGAGGUGAAAUUCGUAGAUAUUCGGAGGAACACCAGUGGCGAAGGCGGCUCACUGGACCAUUACUGACGCUGAGGUGCGAAAGCGUGGGGAGCAAACAGG